ensembl:ncRNA asRNA:CR45929 antisense RNA:CR45929
AUGCAGUCGUAGAAGUGGGUUCAUCGGUUAUGGUCACAGCAGCUGGCGGCGGAUCGCCGGCCUUCCGUUGAUCCCUAAAGAACAUGACCCACGCGCUCUUAUGGAUCUCUAUUCCAUCACAUAGGCCAUACACCUGGGCAAAUCCGAAAUAGGCAGCAACAGCGGCGACACCGAAGAGAGGUACCAUUAUGACUAGUCCUCCCAGGCAGGCGAAGAACACCAUGGACACAAUGGUCAGGAGUGUGCCUAAAACGAGUCGAUAAGAACGUGAUCUCUGGUAAACACUACGGAACGCACCUUCUAGCACCAGCAAACCUGUAAAGGUCAUAACCAUGGUGGCUAUUCCAAACCCAAAUAUUAUAAGGAAGGGCAGCAUGAAUACAAGACCACCAGCU